CUCCAGAACAGUAGGAGGGUUAGUUGAGAGAAUAUAGUGGUGUGUGUAUAUAUAGGUUGUGACCGGCCUCACACUCCAGAACAGUAGGAGGGUUAGUUGAGAGAAUAUAGUGGUGUGUGUAUAUAUAGGUUGUGACCGGCCUCACACUCCAGAACAGUAGGAGGGUUAGUUGAGAGAAUAUAGUGGUGUGUGUAUAUAUAGGUUGUGACUGGCCUCACACUCCAGAACAGUAGGAGGGUUAGUUGAGAGAAUAUAGUGGUGUGUGUAUAUAUAGGUUGUGACUGGCCUCACACUCCAGAAUAGUAGGAGGGUUAGUUGAGAGAAUAUAGUGGUAUAGAUAGGUCAUGACCGGCCUCACACUCCAGAAUAGUAGGAGGGUUAGUUGAGAAAAUAUAGUGGUGUGUGUAUAUAUAGGUUGUGACUGGCCUCACACUCCAGAACAGUAGGAGGGUUAGUUGAGAGAAUAUAGUGGUGUGUGUAUAUAUAGGUUGUGACUGGCCUCACACUCCAGAACAGUAGGAGGGUUAGUUGAGAGAAUAUAGUGGUGUGUGUAUAUAUAGGUUGUGACUGGCCUCACACUCCAGAAUAGUAGGAGGGUUAGUUGAGAGAAUAUAGUGGUAUAGAUAGGUCAUGACCGGCCUCACACUCCAGAAUAGUAGGAGGGUUAGUUGAGAAAAUAUAGUGGUGUGUGUGUAUAUAUAGGUUGUGACUGGCCUCACACUCCAGAAUAGUAGGAGGGUUAGUUGAGAGAAUAUAGUGGUAUAGAUAGGUCGUGACCGGCCUCACACUCCAGAACAGUAGGAGGGUUAGUUGAGAGAAUAUAGUGGUGUGUGUAUAUAUAGGUUGUGACCGGCCUCACACUCCAGAACAGUAGGAGGGUUAGUUGAGAGAAUAUAGUGGUGUGUGUAUAUAUAGGUUGUGACUGGCCUCACACUCCAGAACAGUAGGAGGGUUAGUUGAGAGAAUAUAGUGGUGUGUGUAUAUAUAGGUUGUGACCGGCCUCACACUCCAGAACAGUAGGAGGGUUAGUUGAGAGAAUAUAGUGGUGUGUAUAUAUAGGUCGUGACCGGCCUCACACUCCA